GGGGCCCAUCCUCCAAGGCUAAAUACUCCUGACUGACCGAUAGUGAACCAGUACCGUGAGGGAAAGGCGAAAAGAACCCCGGCGAGGGGAGUGAAAAAGAACCUGAAACCGUGUACGUACAAGCAGUGGGAGCACGCUUAGGCGUGUGACUGCGUACCUUUUGUAUAAUGGGUCAGCGACUUAUAUUCUGUAGCAAGGUUAACCGAAUAGGGGAGCCGAAGGGAAACCGAGUCUUAACUGGGCGUUAAGUUGCAGGGUAUAGACCCGAAACCCGGUGAUCUAGCCAUGGGCAGGUUGAAGGUUGGGUAACACUAACUGGAGGACCGAACCGACUAAUGUUGAAAAAUUAGCGGAUGACUUGUGGCUGGGGGUGAAAGGCCAAUCAAACCGGGAGAUAGCUGGUUCUCCCCGAAAGCUAUUUAGGUAGCGCCUCGUGAAUUCAUCUCCGGGGGUAGAGCACUGUUUCGGCAAGGGGGUCAUCCCGACUUACCAACCCGAUGCAAACUGCGAAUACCGGAGAAUGUUAUCACGGGAGACACACGGCGGGUGCUAACGUCCGUCGUGAAGAGGGAAACAACCCAGACCGCCAGCUAAGGUCCCAAAGUCAUGGUUAAGUGGGAAACGAUGUGGGAAGGCCCAGACAGCCAGGAUGUUGGCUUAGAAGCAGCCAUCAUUUAAAGAAAGCGUAAUAGCUCACUGGUCGAGUCGGCCUGCGCGGAAGAUGUAACGGGGCUAAACCAU
rnacentral:rRNA from 1 species